GCAUAUUUUGAUGUUUCGAUAUUCAUGUUGAUGGUUUCUUUUAACAUAGCUCAUUCAUUAUACUACUACUUGCAUGUAUAUAUUAAGUAAUUGGGUGCGGUUUGUAAAAGGCUGUAACCUUACUAAUAGAAACAAAGUUGUAAUAUUCAAAAUCAUCCAUUGUAGUUCGACAGUGUAGAUUUGACAUGUAUUUAAAACAGCGUCAAAAAAUUAGUAUGUAUUUUAAGAGGAAAAAGUUUAUAUAAAGAUGCAACCUUANNNNNNNNNNNNNNNNNNNNNNNNNNNNNNNNNNNNNNNNNNNNNNNNNNNNNNNNNNNNNNNNNNNNNNNNNNNNNNNNNNNNNNNNNNNNNNNNNNNNNNNNNNNNNNNNNNNNNNNNNNNNNNNNNNNNNNNNNNNNNNNNNNNNNNNNNNNNNNNNNNNNNNNNNNNNNCCAUGAGAAAUAAAAAAGAUUUUAAGUCUCAAAAAUAGUGCAUUUUACAACAUAUUAUCUACACCGUCUAUUUUCAAGAUUUUCAUAUGUUUAUAGAUCUACUUGAUUUUAACCAUUUUUUAAAUUUAAAAUUUUAUAAUUAGAUAUAAAAAUAGAUUUUGAGAUGAUCUUAAGAAUAUUUUACAUCAAAAUUAUAUACCAUGAUAAAAUUUGAAGGUUCACCUUACGUCUACAGCUACGGCUGCAUCCGUAUGCCAGCUGCACCCUUUUUAAGAUGUUAUCGAAUCUACACCAUCCAACGGUGUAGACUACUACAACCUUACUUCUACAAAUAAGGUUGAAACCUUAUAUAAACUUUUUCCUAAGUAAUUUGCACUAGCAAAUGAACCAUUAGCAUGAUGUCAGUCCUCUUUUGUUUCUUCUUGGUUCGAUGAGUAGUAACCAUAGUUUAAUUAAAAUGAGGUGUUUUGAUAGAUAUUAUAAGUAGAAUGCUUGGUGUGAUUCAUCUUCUUAGCAGUUUGGGUGGUUGAUAUCUCUUGUGCAUGACUUUACGUGUAUGGGCGUGUAUACGGUCAUGUGUGAGUCAUAAAGAGAGUACACCAAAACACACGUUUAUGUAUGUGGAAGUGCUCAUACAUGUAUGCAUAGGCUAAUGAAUGUGCAUCUGCACAUGGUAUUUUUUGUGGUAAUGGAAUGUGUAUACAUGCAGUACUGUAUCCACACUCCAUGCUUCUCUAGACAAAGGGCACGUAAUUCCUGGGGACAAAGUGCAUAUGCUCUUGGGAUAUCUCCUUUUCGGGAAGAAAUGUGCUUGAUCCUCCAAAGUUUACCUCCAUAUGAGGAGCUUAAUUUGGUGGCUUGAGAAUUCCUUGCUUGUUGAAUUCACUCUAUGGAACUUUUCCCUUUUUUUUUUUUUUUGACACCAUAUUUUUUCCAUAUUACUUAUCCCAAUCUUGAUAGAAAAAUAAAACAAAGCAUAUUAAUUCAACAUGUAUUACCCAUAUACAGUAAUUCCACUUUGGAGCCUCUCCCUUUUGUUCUGCCUAUACCCUUAGAUGUUUGUUCGGGGGGCAUAAAGUAAGAGGAAAGGAAAAAAAAAAGGUGCUGCAACACUUUGUACAGUUAGGAAAUAUCUUCAAGCUGUUGCAGUCUCAUAGAAAAUGUCAUAUAAGUCCCCCGAUUUCUAUUACUUUAUUUUCUCCUGUCUGCACAGACUUGUACAUGAGUACCCCACUUUGGUCGCUCUGCAACACUUCAGAAUUGUCUUCAGUUAACUCUUACUUUUUUGUCUCUUUAGAUCUUUCCAUUCAGGAUCUCCAAAUCCACCUAUUUCUCAUGCGUCAGAAAACUAGCCAUGCACAUGCAUGUUUAAUAUACUGUAUGCAUGUUAUUACAGAUAUGCUGUAAUAACCAACUACUACAAUUUUUCAUCCCAAGUAGCAUUUCUAGAUUUCAAAAGGUGUUGGAGCUCAACGGUUUUGUCUAACACACAAAAUAUCAAUUCAACUUCAUUACUUUUUACGUGCUCUUGGAUGCAAAUAGAAUUGAAUGUCUCUAUGCUUGCUUCUCCCAAACAAAACUGGAUCUUUUGCCAAAGCAGUAAUUGAUUUUUUGUCAAUAUUGAUAUUUGUAGGUUUAUGUUGAGGAACCUGCUAAUUCAUCAAUACAUUUCUUAACCAGAUCAGAUAGCAUGACAAAUACAUGUUGAUGAAGCACAUUUUUAAUUUCACUAUGUACAAAAAAUAGCAAUCUAUUGCUUUUUUGAGCAUCAAGUAAAAGCUGAAGAGACUAUACUAGAACAUAAAAUGUAGUACUCAGUUCAUUUGAUUGCGAAUAUGACAAUCCAUAAUCCAAUGUACCUUUUUAAAUAUGAGAAAUUCUUUGUUACCUUCAAAUAGUUUUAAUGGGAGUUUUCAUAUAUCAACUUAUCAAAUCAACUCCAUUCAAUAUAUAUAAUUGAGUCAAACAGCACAAACCAAAGUUUUGAAGUAAGUAGAAUCAACUCUAGAAUCAUCAUAUCUACCAUUCAACUCGUAUUCAACUGCAGUAGUCACUGAAUUACAAUUUGGCAUUUUAAACACUUUAAUUUAUCAAAAUUUCGAGUAGUCAUCAAAAGUUACGUCUCCGCUCACCAAAUCAUCAAAUUCUACAAAUAUAUUUCUUCUUUUUUUUACUACAUGUCGGGUUGCUAGUCCACCUUUCGAGAAACCAUGAAUUGCUUUCUCUAUUUCAGCUCAUAUGCAUACCAACAACAAGGUUAUUGCUACUCCAUCCAAAUUUUCUGUAAAGUUCACUUGUUCUCCUACUUCGUUGAGCUCUUAAAUCUUCAAUUGGAACUAAAGUGCCCUAAUUUCUUAUCAUUAAAACAUUGAACACUAGUCCUUUCAUAUCUGUGCCGAUUGAAUUGUCUGCUCAAAUUUCUACUGCCUUGGCCCCUUAUGGUUUACCUCAUUUGCCCUCUACUACUUUCGGUGUUAAAGUUGCCAGUUCUUCAGCCACCUGUGCAAGAUUGCAACCUCCUCGUCACCUUCCUCUAACACUGGCUCCCCACCCCCUCCACCCUUCUAUCAAGCACUUACUCGAGACAAUUAUUUAUCUUCUUGAUCAUUCUCGGUCAAUUCCUAUGAAUACAUUUUGUAUGAUCUCCCAUGCUUGUUUCGUGGUGGUGCUAAAGAUAACCUUUUCAAAGGUGGUUUUACGUACGCCAUGAUUAAUUAGGAAAAUGGCUUUCUUAUCUGCUUCCCUUGACUCUUGUAAGGUAUUCUUUUGAUUAUUUGGCAACACAGUUUCAUAUUCCGAGGUUUCAGGUUCUUUUUGGAUUGUGGAGGACAUUCCUCUAUUCAAUAAUUGACCUUAACUAGGAAUUGCGGACUUCUCAUGGGCUAAAGAUAAGAGAGGCUGAAGUGGAAGAAUUGAACGAAGGAAACCAUCAUUUCAGUGAGAGGAGACAAUGAAUGCCAUCAAAUGCAUAAAAGGAGACGCCUCAGUUUCCUUGAAAUUAGGUCGUAGAUAUGCUUCUUAGGAGCAUGUCAUGUUGAAGCUAACUCGUGGACAAUUAGGAAGAAUUUACUUGUGAUUUUGGAAAUGUAUAUGAUAAGACCAUUUCUCUUUAAUACAAGGAAGUCAAAAUCAUUAUCAGUCAUUAAAUGUGAAAUGUGGUGGUUGGGGAUGUGUCAUUGACUAGGUUCAAAAUAAAAGUUUUUAAACUAUUUAUAUCAUUUGUGCUAUUAGAUUUCACGUCAAAUAGCCAGAGAUAAUUGUGACCUCCUUGUACCAAAAAUACGUGGUCUCAUGGUAUACAUUCCCCAUGGUUUUUGGUAUCCUAAGUGGUUUCUUUACUUUUUGUUUUCUCCUUUGUCAUACUACCAUGUAUACUAUACUCCCAUGGAAACAUACUAUUCGUAUUCUCCCUUGCUCCAAAUAACUGUUUAGAAAAACUAUUUGUUUAAAAUUUUGGGAACCACAUAAUAACUACUAGAAUUUAUUUUCAAAAGAAAUUAUUGAAUUUUGAGUUUUGUGACAUAUAGAUCUAGCUCUUCAAAAAUUGGAUGGUCUCUAUUCAUUCUUAAGCCAUUAUUUUUUUAGCACAUAAAAAAUUUGUAUCGAAAGUUUUUUUAUUGAGAAUACUUAUGGGUUGCAGAGAUUAAAUACACAAAAUUUGAGAUUUAAAAAUUAUUCCUAAGGGUAAUACCCGAGGGAGUAAAUGGAGUAUACUCCCAUGAGAGUAGAAAAUAUUUUGGCUUGUCAUAUACUCUGUUUGUACUUUUGUCUGGAUUAAGACAACAAGCUCCUUCUCAAUAAAAUGCACCAUAAAUAUGUAAACUAAUACUGCUAGGCUGAAUAGGUGUCAAGCUUUUUGCUUGAACCAUUUUGUAUGGUGUCCAGUUGAUUUUGGAAGGGAAUUUCCGUGACAAAAAUCUUGAUAGGAUAUGGGAUGGUUCCUUUAAAUCAUUUGAACCCUUUGAACCUAAGUGUGUGCUUCACAAAAUUUGGUCAUCAUUUGCACUCUUAAUAAAUAUGGCCAAGAUUAGUGAUGCAAUGCCCUGUAGAAAAUAUGUUGUUUUCUAUUCAAUAAAUAUUCUACCAAUUAAAAAUAAUUUCAAUAGGAAAUAAGUGUCAAUGAAAUUUUACUAUAUGAAAAAACAUAUAAAUGUCCUUAAUCAACCAAAAUAAUGAAUCAGUUGAACUAGUGGCACUUGGAUCUCUGCAAGAUGCAAUUAGAAAAGGGUGUGGUUUGCAUAAGGUUGCAAGCUUAAAUAAUUAAAGAAAGUAUAUCUCCAAGCAUGGUCAUGACAUGACAUUUUGGUGCAGUAAUCAAUUUUUGCCUCUAAUUAUCAAAUUUUAAAAUCUAAAAAUAGUUUAAAUCGAGUAGAUCUAUAAAUGCUGAAAAUAUUAAAAAUGGACGGUCCAAGUAAUGUGUUGCAAGAUGUACUAUUUUUAAGACUUGACAUCUAUGUUUUUCUCCAUAUCAAGAUGAUCAAUUCAAUGUUUUUCCAACAUCAAAAACCUUUUUAGAAGAAUUUUAGAGGUGAACCUUGAUUUUAAAUUUUAAGGUGUCAACCUUAUAUAAACUUUUUCCAUUAGAAAAUAAAUCCAAUACCAUUUCAUAUCCAACAAAUAUCUCUCUGAUCAUGACUUGUGAUGGUAUAGACAUCAUAUCAGUUCAUCUUUUGUACCAAGAAUUAGCUCUUUAUACUUCAGAUGUUCCAAAUCAUUUCAUUUUUAUGUUCCAAACAUCAAAUAGACCUAGAUCAUUUAUAAAAAAAUUAGAACUUUUUAUAUUAAAAAUUUUAAUCAAUUUUUUAAUUUUAAGCAUAACAAAAUUAAUUGAAACUAAGUUCUACCAACAAAAUUUUGUGAAAUAAUUCUGAUAAUCCUCCACCUUUAUGAAAAUAUAGGUAUCUUUCGGACUUGCAAAUAAUAUAUUAUUAUCACUAACUAUUAUGAAAUAAUUCCAAUAAUCAUCUAUUUAUAUUAUGAAAAGUUUGUGCAUCCCUAAAGGUUUCAGACUUCAACCUUUAGUUGACAUUAUCAUCAAUAUCAAUGAGAAACAUAGUAAAUGACGUUUUGACCUAAGAAUCUUGACUAAUAAACCUAUUACAUAACCACGUUACUUUAUGUGAACCAAGAGAUGCUCAAACACCCUAUCAUGCUUAGGUUAUUAGCUUUAAACUGAGCCUUUUUUAUUAUUUAUGGAUAAAAGAAAUCCAAGGCAUCUGUAGAUAACUUGUUAAUUACAUUCACACCUCAACCAAUAGAGGAAGAAAGCACCGUUGUUUAAUCGAUUACAGAUGAUAACAGCUUGAAAGAAAAGGUAUAACUAUAGGAUAUGAUAUACGUCCUUCACAUACGAAGGGCCUUCAACUGCGUAUUUCUUUGUGUCUUCUUAUCUCCUCAUUUGUCCAUCAUUUUUGAAAUUUGGGGAUAAUUGGCCUCUUAUUGACUUGCACCAGUCAGUUAUUUUGACUUGCCUGGAAAUCAUGUGGUGUUCAUCAUGGUAACUGAAGCCAUUAACUCGUAGAGAGUUCCUGUGUUGCUGUGUAUCAACAAACGCUGGCCCUUAUGGGCCACGUAUCUUUUCUAAAUAAGUAUGAUUUGUCUUCAUGCAUAAUCUUCUGUUGAGUAUGCUUUGGAAAAAGCUGCCACCAGGAAGUGUGAUAUUUCACCAGUAGGAAACAUGAUAUUUAGCCGAUAAGUUUGGGAAGAUUAGGAGACUUCGAUUUAUCCUCCAAAAUAAAUAACGUUUUAGGUCUUAUGACUUGUUUCAUGAGAAGUCUUGGGCCUCUAAAAUGGGAUAUUACCAAAAGGUGGCUUUAAAGAUAACCUAUACGAGAAUUUUGAUCAAAGAGAGGUUCUUUCUCAUUUGCCGGGGCGUAAUAAACGGGAUAGAGCCUCAUGAGUGCUUUGUCAGAGGGUAAACUCUGAGGCAAAGUAAUUUGAAAGGUUGUCACUAGAGUGAUUUGAAUAGGAGAGUGUAGAUGUGGAUGGGUAUCUUCAGUGUGAUAAGGCUAAUGGAGGUUCUGUUGAAAUGUGUUACUGUCGAUGAUUUUCAAUGUUUCAAAAAGCGUUAGGUGGGUCCUAGGCGGCCUGAGGUCUAGGCCGCCCAGUGCCUAGGCGGGCGCGCAGAACUUGAGCGGCCUAGUUGAACCCAAAUAAGGAUUAUGCAGUGCAGUUAUGUCAGUAUCAGUUAUAUGCAUUGCAGUACAUAAUUCAAAUUAUACUACAUAUUAGCAUUUAGCAAACACUCUAUAAACAUAACCAUAAUCCAUAAGUCGGUUCAUACUCCAUGUCCAUAAUUCAAUUAAAACUUAAAAUUUACGGCCAACCAAAUUAUCAAACCAAGUUAUCAAAUAGUAUCACACCAGUACGGCAGUACACCACUAUGAGGAAGAAAAAAAAUUGAAUUAUGAAACUAUGAAAGUAAUACUUGAAAACUCAAAAGACUCUUCAAUAGUUCAAUACACAAUACUUCAAUCAAAGUUCAAACUUCAAAAGUUUAAUAAUUAUUCAACAAUCAACAUUCAUCAUUCAUCAUUCAUUCUUCAUCAUAAAAUCUUGGGUCAGCUGCAUUGGCAUCAUAUUCAUCGGAGUCGACGGAGUCGUCACCCUCCUCGACAUAUUGGUCGUCCCCAUCCUCCUCUGCCUCUUCUGAAUCAGCCUCUUCUUCCUCCAUCUUUGUUCUCUGUGCAGAAGAUCUAUUGACCUUAGGAGGAUCAGCUGAUGUCCCUGAAGCAUCCAUAACAAUGUUUUAUGUCAAUCCUUCAUGCCUCGACCUCAUCAUCAUCAACUAACCACUCCAUAGCAUGGUCCAUAUUUUUUGAUCUGAUGGGGUCUCUCUUAUCUCUCUUACUAAACUUGCCCUUCAAUAAUCGAUUGUACUUGACAUAGACUAGAUCAUUGAGCCUCUUUGAUUCAAGCUUGUUCCUUUUCUUUGUAUGAAUCUAAUAAAAUCAAAUGAAACUAAUUAAAUUUAAUAUAUAUGGUUAAUGUAUUAUUUAUAAAAUUAUACAAAUCACCCAUGCGGCCUUACUCCUUCAAAAGUACUCCAAUUGCGCUCACAACCGGAUGAAGAAGUGGUUAGGUUUAAGAUCCGAAUGGCCAAUUUUUAUAAAUUUGGAGAACUAAACCCAUGUUGGCUCCACCAAUGGGCUACAAAGAAAUAGAAUAAAAUCAUAAAUAAAUAAUAGAAUUGCUUGACUACUUGAACAGUUUGAACUUAAGAAUAAUACUGAUUCUUGGAUCAAUUUUUGCCCUUUGCUUCAUUGUCAUUGGACUUCCAAAAGACUUUAAUGAGCACUUUUAAUUUAUCAGCUCAUCAGCGCAUAUAAUAUCAUGCAUAUCAGGAUCAGGGACUAGCACCUCUACACACAUUAAAUCCAUUCAUAAUUGUGUCAUUUGUUUUUAUAUCCUUGUCAAUAUAAAAAAAAAAAAACUGGGUUCAAAUAAUAAUCAACUGCAUGCAAUGGCCAAUGUAGCUGCCUAUCACACUUCUCAUUAAUAAUCUAAAAAACAGGCUUGUAACGGGUUUGUUCAUCAUUGAAAUUGUGGGUUAUCUCUCUUUUACAUUUCUCCAUAAUAUCAUAUAUGUAGCCCAUAGAAGGCUUGUCACUAUCAACCAUGUGAAGGACUUUGACAAGUGGAAAAAAUACCUUUAGAGCGCCCUUCACCCCUCUCCAGAAGCCUUAAAAAGUAUAAUAUCUCUCACCUUCUUCCCAACCUGAUCCUUAGACCACUUACAUGCUCUCCAUUCAUCUGAGAUAAACAUUUGUAUCAACUACACUCUUCUCGAAUGUAUGCUAUCUAGGCAUAAGUACCAAGUUGUAAAUCUCGUGACCCCAGGCCUCACAAUAUCUUUCUUCUUUGUAAAGGUACGCAUCAUGCUGAGGGUGAGAUAGUGGCUAUAAAUGAAAUUUGUAACUAACUUGACCUUCGGUUAAACCGCGCAGGAUAAGCUAUGCGCAACAAAUUAGAUGCAGCAACAUUAGGAGCAGCAUUGUCUGUGACAACCUGUACAACAAGAUGUUCCCCAACCUCCUUGAUGCCCUUCUUUAUCACUUGAAAUACGUAAUGGGCAUCAUGAAUAUGAUCAGAGGUAUCAAUAGACCUCAAAAAAGACAGUUCUUGCAGGACAAUUCACAAGCAAAUUCAUCUGACUUCUUCUCUUCAUAUCACUCCAGCCAUCAAUCAAAAUAGAAAUCCCAUACUAGGCCCUUGCAUCAUUCUUAAGUUCUACAGCUUCCUUCGUGGCACUCACUGCCUUUUUUAAAAAGGCUCUGAAAGCUCAUAUGGGGUUGGGGGUUUCAUCUCAGGGUCAAAUUGGCCAACUGCCUCUAUCGUAGUAUAGAAGCUGCUUAAGCAAGCGGUAUUGAAAGGAAUGCUCGCCUUAUAAAAUCAUGUAGCAAGAUAAUACACAGUUCUAUCUCUCUCUUCUUUCUUGAUUCUAUUUUCAAUGGUGGUUUGCUUUUUUAUUUCUCUCCUGCAACCUCAAGGUCAGGCCGAGGUAAAAAACUAUCCAUAGGGCCUCUAACCCGAGGCUUCUUAGUCCCAAAACCGGAAGCAAUUACAACUCCCUUCCCCUUUCCCUUAAUAAUGGAUUGCUCAACCUCUUGACAUCCCUCCAUUUCCUCAUCACUAUCAUCAUCAUCAAAAUUGACGCGAACGCCGACCUAAUUUCUGCUAUAAAGGCAAAUCUCUCAUCUUUUUUCAUUUUCACUAUGUUCAAAAAAUUGUUUAUUUCCUCUUUAAUAGCAUCAAGAGCCUUUUUACAUGGGGAAACAUCCCCCUGAUAUCGAGAAGAUGUUUCUUGAACCGGUUUAUGCCCCCUUUUGAAUCAUUUUUACAAAACUUGCAUCUUAUGUAAUAUUUAUCAUUAGGUUUUGGGUUAUAGCCAUAUUUCCAAUCGGGAUCACCACUUCUAUUAGAUCUCGAAUAAGACAUCUAAAAAAUAAUGUAAAUUACUAAAACAAUAAAAACAAAUCACUUUGAGUUUUAUUGCUCAAUCUUCAAACUUCCACCUCAAAGAUGCUUUUAAAUACUCAAAAUCUUCUAAAAAAAACCCUAAUAACUUUGCAAAAUAUCAAAAACUAAAUCUAAUAUCAAUGGGUGAUGUUUUGAUCAAGUUUUGUUAACUUUGAAAAACCCUUCGAUCCUAAAACAUUCACCAGAAACUAGAUAUUUGGAGGCUUUCUCUGUCUAAAAUUGGCUCCAACAAGUUUUAGGGUUCAAAUGAAUCUAAAACCCUAAUUUUGGGUCCUUAAAAACAACAAAAAAAAUGACCAAAGUUGCCCCUAUCGAAAGCAAUUUCCACCCCUAGGCGGGGCGCAGGCCCUGAGCGCCCGCCUAACGCUGGGAGCUGGGCGCUCGCCUAGGCGAGUUCCGUACGGCCUAGGCGGGUACGAUUCCUAGAUUGGCCACCUAGGCUUCGGCAAUGCGCCCAGGCCUUUUGAACCGCCUAAGCGCUGGGCAGUCCGCUUUUUGAAUCAUUGAUGAUUUUGCAUAUUUUGAGUCGAUACUAAGAGUUGUAUAUUCACCUCUCAAAGCACUACCCUUAUUUUUGCCUCAAUCCAAGGUAUAAAAGAGGGAACUUUAGUCUUUUUCUAGAUGGGGUUUCUAGUGAAGUUUCAAAGGGUGUCAAGUUUUCACUUAAACAUUUGUAUUUUUCUAGAGCUUUUAUAUUUUGUUAGGCCUUGUACCCAUAUUUUGAUCUAAGUAGUGCUUUAGAUAUUGAAAGAAAAACUUCAUAAGAAGUGGCCCUACUUUUAUUCUUAUGUAAAUAAGUUUACCAAGAGUCCGUGAACUCUAAUACAAAAUAAGGUAUAGACGUGUUGAUGUAGGCACACGUAGAUUGCCCCCUCGAAGAGGAGUUGAAGCAGCUUUGGAAAGACCUCACAAUGAACUCGAGGUUAAGUUAUUUCCAUGAAGACGGGAAUGAUGCAGCGCUAGGCCUACGGUCCUAGUAAGAGCCAUGGUGGACGCGUAGUCAGCAUGAUUGUUACCUUGGACUUGGGAAUGGCAUGAUGCAUGUGCAUAAGUGCAUGAUGCAUGUGCAUAAGUUUAUUUGCUUUGAAAAAUUGUUUAUGAAAAAUAGGAGUCUUGCAUUGAAGUGAAUGUAUUUUGCAUUGGAAUUUAGGUUGCAUAGGUAAUAUGUUAGUUUUGCAUGUAAUUAUUCUAUUAAUAGUUCCAAAUGUGGGUUUUGGUCUUCCAAUGUAUAGAGACUUGAUUAGGGGCUUUUAGAAACAUGUAAACUUAGGUUUUUAGUUUAUAAAAGAACUAUACAACGGUUGUAAAGAGGGAGGACGAAUUUUGACUGAAAAAAUAUUAUUUGUGGAUAGCAGUUUUCUGCUGCUGAGUGUUCCCUCCUUUUCGACAUAAGUGAUUCUGACCCUAUCUUGUCGGUUGAGAGACUCUCAUCAACAUCUCACAGGCCUCAGCCUGCAUUAAGUUAGUAUCAAAGUACGUUCCUUCUGACCACCCUAGACACUUCAAUUGUGUGUAAUGGUUACUAAAGUACCCCAAAACGAUCUUUUAUUCUCAUCUUCAUUUUCACAAUAUUUGGAAGUCAUAAAUUGGGACUUACCACCAAUUUUUGACAUGUAUCCUAAUGAGGAUUCGAGUUUGGUAGAAGAAACAAUCUAUGAUGAAGAAGUUGGUGAUCCAACCUUUGAUGAAAAGAUAGAUGAAAGUCUUAUGUUCAAUGAAGAACUAGGUAAUUGCAAGGAAGAUGAUAUUGGUGAAGAUGGUGGUGAUUUCAUUGGGCUAUUGCUUUGUUUACAGUGGAGAGCCGCAGUUGCAAUGCAUGUUUCCUCUUAACCUAUUUUAAGGUCGUAAGCAAGUUAUCUCAAGUAUGUUCAUUGACAAUAAUUGUAUGCAUAUAUACUAUAAAUUUAACAAUUUUUCAUGUGGACAAAACAUGAUAGGUAAAGGUUUUUACGAGUGAUGAUGUAAUUUGGAACACAUUUCUCUCGUGUUUUCUUGAACUGGGUCUCAUUAAAAUUGGGAAAAAGUGCAUAUUCCUUGAUGAUGACAGACAUGCAAAUCAAGCACUAUUGUUGAUCGCAGUUAAGUAUUGCUCAUGUUGUUGGCCUUAUAGCAUUCCUCGGAUUUAAGUGUUGCUCAUGUUGUUGGCCUUACAGCAUUCCUGUCAGAGAUGACCUUGUACAUAAAAGAUUAGAACCAGUGGCAAUCUAUGGAGAAAAUGGGUUAUCUCUUGAAUGGUAUUCUGCACUAGAAUGGGGUUUCCCUAUUUGGACAAAGAAACAUGCUCUUGAUAGAGGCAAAGCAGUAAAUUGUAUACCAAAUGAAGUUUCUUACUAGAAAAUUUAUUUUUCAUUAUGAAUUUCCCUUCUUGUAUUUGCCCAAGAUUGAUAUGAAGGGGUUUUAUAAUCAAGCAGUGCCAAAUAUUUUACGAAAAGGUUGGGAUGUGUUUGAUCUUUAUUUAUUCCAAAACAAGUGAUUGUAUUUGUUAUUGAAGACAAUUCAUUGGAACUAUGCCUUCACAAACUCAUAGAAUAUAAUGCCAAUAAAAUCAGAUUGGCAUAGUGGAAGAAGAUUGACUUCGCAUUCAUCUUAACCCACUACAAAACACGACGAAGUUUUUUUCAACAAAGGGAGUUUGAUGCAGGUGCAAGUAGACUAAAGAAGAGUUGAAGCAACUUUGGAAAGACCUCACAAUGAACUCGAGAUCAAGUUCUUUCCAAUACGAGGGAAUGAUGCAGUGAUAGGCCUACACUCCUAGUAAGUGCCAAGGUGGACUCCUAGUGAUUGUUAGCUAGGUAUGAUGUUGCAUGGUUUUAUUUGCUUUCAACAAUGAUGUGUGGAAAAUAGGAGUCUUGCAUUGAAGUUAAUGCAACUUAGUGAGAGAAACACACACAAAGAGAGAAUGUAAAGAGACAAAAUCAGUGGUAGUCACCACAAUAUUACGAUGAAAUGCUAUAUUCAAAAGUGAAAUUACAUAAAACAUGAGCUCCAAAUUGGAAUGUCCAAGCCUUUUUAUGCUACUUGUCUUUUAAGUUUCUAAUACAUAUUAAAAGCUAACCUAUUCCCACUACACAAUCCAUCAAGUUUCUAAACAUACUCCAACUCCAAAAUGUUGAAAACUCCUCAUGUUAACACUCUCUUUACCUCUUUCAAGACUUUGAAAACCUACUAUUACACCAUACUAGGCUCAUAGAAACUAGUUGUCCAUGCCGGAUUUGUGGUCCUAUAUUGGGCUUUACAUCAUCCUCCCUGGGUUCGAGAGAACUACCCUCGAUUUUGUUUUCGAAACAUCAUAAUACUCAAUAAGAACGACCAUCUCUGUAAAGCAAGUCCAUAAUAUUAGUAGCCUUAAACUCAUUUGAGAAUACUCGCCUAUGAACUUUGAAUGGGCUAAGAAGAGUCUUGCAGUACAACCACAACCCUUUUCAAUUUGAACACGGAGAGUUUCUCUUGGGAUCUUCCAUAUAAGAUGAAAUAAUAGCUCAUCCUGCCUUCUAGCAUUGAGAGCAUUAUCAUACACUUUUUAGUGUCCAUUCUUUUCAACAAACUCAUCAAUAAGAACAACCAAUGAAAAUGGCAUCAGCUCCUUUGAGCAUAUCUCCCAUGGCACCCCUAGUUCAGAUAAGAUAAAGAGAGCUAGGGCACAACCAAGGUAUAGAAAGAAGUCAUUCGAGUCAAAACACAAUUGAUUGUCACCACCAUCAUUGAGAGAGUUCUUUAGCCUCUAACUGCUUUCUGUCUACGUUUUUCCCUCAUCAUAAAUAUCAUUUAUUCACUUAUUCCUUAUGGGACAGAAACAAAUUAUCUCCAAUAUUUUGCAAUCAACUCCUUCAUAUCUACCUAGUUCUUCAUCAAAAAUAGGAGAAUCCACAAAAUCCUCUUCAUGAUCCUCUUCAAUGACUAGAUUUCCAUUAAAGUCAUUAUCACCAACUUCUUUCUCAACACCUAAAUCAUCAUCCAGGUACUUGUUAAAGACUGGUGGUAAGUCCCAGUCCACAAUCGGCUGAUCCUGAUAAAUAUUUGAUGAGAAAGUUUCCUCAUGAUUGUUCCCAGAUAGACUUCCAUAAUACCCACCUAGGUCCAUAAUACCCACCUAGAUUGUCCACAGAUAGACUUUCAUAAUUAUCAUUUAUUUGGCACCUAGGUCCAUGACAUAGUGCACCAAACUCUUGACUAUGAUCACACCAUGAAUAUGACUCAUCUAUUACCAUCUGGAUCUCCAACUUAUCACUCGAGUUUUCACAGCUAAUAUCUUUUUCAUUGUGAGCUUCCUGAUGCUAGAGUCACAAGUUUAACUACUACACUUACCUCCAACUCUUCAUCUCUUGUGUUGUUCACUUUGUAGUUAUCACAACCACCUAUCCCCCUUCUUGCUGCCAUGGAAAAGGAUGUGCUAAUGGAGAUAACACCCUACCCAAGCCUGAACUCCGGCUCUAAGGAUUCCAAAUGAUGUACCUAAACUGUGGGGACUGCAACUUAGUGAGAGGAACGCACAACAAAGAGAGAAUGUAGAGAGAGAAAAUUGGUGGGAGUCAAAGCUCACCACAAUAUUAUAGCCAAAUGCGAUAUUCAAAAGUGAAAUUACAUAAAAUAUGAGCUCCCAAUUGGAAUGUCCAACCCCUUUUAUGCUACUUGUCUUUCAAGUUUUCCGUGCAUAUUAAAAGCUAACCUAUUCACAUUGCACAAACCACCAAGUUUUUAAGCAUACUCCAACACUCAAAACUUGAAAACUCCUCACAUUGAUUCUCUUUGUACCCUUUUCAAGACUUGUGAAACCCACUAUUACACCAUUCUAGGCUAAUGGAAACUAGCUAUCCAUGCUGGAUUUGUGGAGUUAAACCCCCUUCAGACUACAAGAAGACUUGCACCAAUAGUGUCGUGGAUAUGCAAAGGUUAAAGUUAGAAAGGGUUAUGAUGGGUGCGUAUAUCAAAAAGAUGAUUACUUUUUGUUUAAAAAAUAUUUUAAUAGGUAACUUAACUAUUAAACGAAAGCAAAUUUGAAAUUUUUAUAAAAGUACAAUGGCAUUUUGAAAGUUAGUAACCUGAAAUUUUAUUUGGAAAGUGCCCUUGUCGUUUAGUAAAAAUUUCAACUUUACUUUUUAUGGAAAUGAUAAAAGUACCGCUUGUACUAUAGUAAUAUUAACAAAAUUGCCCUUACUUAAUGAUGAAGGUAUCUCAAAAAGUAACUUUUUAAAAAAGUUAGACUACAAAAUUAGUAAAUCCACCCUUCACAACUCUCUCUAUCUUUAACCCCCUCUCUCUCUCUCUACUNUAUAUAUAUAUAUAUAUAUAUCUACUCUCUCUCUCUCUCUCUCUCUAUCUAUAUAUAUAUAUAUAUNNNNNNNNNNNNNNNNNNNNAAAGUUAAAGUUAAAUAAUAACUAACUAAUAACUACUACCUACUACUACUACUACUACUCUUACCUCCUACUACUCUACUCUAUAUAUAUAUAUAUAUAUAUAUACUACUCUCUCUCUCUCUCUCUCUCUAUAUAUAUAUAUAUAUAUAUAUAUAUAUAUAUAUAUAUAUAUAAACCUAUUCUACCAUUCUUUCUAAGAGGCGAUCUCCAUUUUAGGUAUGCUAAUUGCUACAUUAUCACUGAUCAAUCUAAUAGCACUGUCUAACAUAACUUUAGUAAUUUUAGCUAAUGGGUUCCUGUCAUAAGUAAUUUCACCAAAAUGACAGAGAAAUUACUUCUUACAUGUUUCGUCCUUGUACUUUGCAAGGAGUGAUGCCAUUAUCCCUUUCUUGAAUUUAGCGAGAGCAAGAAGAACAACCGAUUGAUGAGUGUGCUGUUUGGUAUCCAUGAGCACAAUCCUCCAUCUCCACUCGCUGAAGUUGUCCCUUCUCAUUCUCAUAUUUUCUUAUCUCGCAAAGUAGGGUUGAGGGCUUUUAUGCAGUACUAGAAGGUUAUAUCCAUCAUUGGUCAUUAGAUGUGAAAUUGGAUGAUUGAAUGUACUCUAUUGAUCAUGUUCGAACUCGAAAAAGUAUACAGACUCUGUGAUAUACAUCUCGCACCUAAUUUUACAUCUAAUGACUAGGAGUUAGUUUGAUCUUUUGAACUAAAGGUAAAUAGCUUUAUAGUAUGUAAUACGUUAUUAUCACCAAUGGAACUUUCAAGGAGAUACUAAAACAAAUUAUUAUGUAUCCAUUUCAUUAAAUGAUACCCAUCAAAAUAGCCAAGUUUACCAAGAUCUUUUUGCAUCAUUUUCAUGCCAAAUCUCACAUGAAUAAUAGUGUCGCACAAACUUGGGAAAGACCCAAAUUUAAUGGCAAGAUCAUAGAGUUGGCUAUUCACAUAGAACCAUCAAACCAAGGCAAGUAUUGAUAGCAGAACUUGCAGAAUAACUGUUGAAAUGUAAUCUAGGAGAAUGAGAUGUAAAAAUGGAAUAUGGACAUGUUUUCCCAAUUCACACCUGAAAACACCACAAAUUUGCAAUAGAGUAGUGUAGGUAUGCUCAUUGAUUCUCUCAUCUUUGAUGCAUCCUAGUAAGCAUGACACCGAUAUGAACAUAAAGUCCCAAGUAUGGAAACCUAGGAGGAAGCUGGCCCAACUUAAAUGGGAUUUUUAUGAACAUAGUAUGGAAACCUAAGAGCAAUCUGGCCCAACUUAAAUGAGAAUUUUAUAGUUUUUUUAUGCUCCUAGCAUUCUUGCCAAUACAUUAUGCUCGUUUUAUUGUAAUUUUUAAUAAAGAAUAUAGCUCCAUGAGCAAAGACCCAUGUCAUAAUGAAGCCUGUGAUGAAUUGAUGAUGAGCAUGGUUAGUAUAGUGCACAGCUUUUCAUUUUGAAAAUGGCUCACCCUAUAGAGGGUCUAGUUUACUGAGUCCUCGGUCCAUAAGUUUAAUAGGUAUCAUGUCGGACAUAAUCACCUUUAGAUUGUUAGAAUUAUGGUGGCCCAAGAAAAUAAAAGUCUUUCUAAAUAUGUGAAAUCAUAUUUUAGGAAAACAUUCAGCAAAAAUUAACCAACUCUUUGAAAAUUAUUUAUUGAAAUUAGUAAAAAAAUGCCAAUCGCUGAAUCAGUUGGAUGACAGGCACGAUCAGAUCGCUUUUUUAAAGCCGAUUAUUGUCCCCACUUGACUCUUCACGAUGCAAUGGGUUGGAAGCAAUACCAACUUUGGGAUACAACUAGCCCAAUUAUCGAGUAAAUCUUAUUUGCUAAUUACAUUAUUAGCAAAUAACCAAUCAACUAUAUGCUAUCAGUAAAAUUUCAAGACCAAAAAUUUAAAUAUUCUGAAUGAUAUAUUCUUCGGAAAUUUAUCAAAGUAUACCUAACUUUUCAAGAAUUUAACAAUUUACCUUUUCUUAACUAUUCCAACUCAUGUGCAUGCUAAUUAUGAUGGGUAUUUCAAAAAUAAAUUAAAAGAUAUUGGUAAAAUGUUAAAUAAUUGAUCUCUUGUAAAUCUCACCAACUAGGCAACCAACUAGAAAUCUUCAUCCCUUGAUUUGAUCCAUGUAGGAGCAAGUGAUGCCUCCCUCUAUUGAGAAAAAAAAUUAUAGGGCAUAAAAGAUUUUAGUAACCUUUAUCAAAUAGAAAAUGAGUAUAUAAAUUUAGAUGGUGUAAAUAUCAGAGCUGGAAUUAGAUUGUAGAUGAUCCACAUUCAUAGAAACAUGAUGGUUAUCUUAAGAAGGGUAUCCCUCUUAAUUUUUGAAGAGAGACUAAUGUUCAAUAGAGCCUAUUCACUUCAAUAUGUCUCUCGGGCAAUCAUAUAAUCUCCCUCUUCACUAAACUAGACCCAUUUUUCUUUUCAGCAAAUCUCUUUGCUACGCAUUCAAACAUAAGCUUCAAACAUAAGCUUCAGCUUAGUGGUAGAUAUAUCAUGUGCAGUGAGGGACGUCAAUGGUUUGAACCCUUCAUCCCAAAAGCAAAAACAAGAUAACCAAGCCGUUUUUAUCCCUUAAACCUGAGCACUCCUACCGGCUUGCUAUUUCCCAUUGAACUUAGAAUUUGUGCUUCAAAGACAAGAAUAGGUUUUGGUUGUGUUAAAAUGCUAAUUUGUCACCAUCUGUCUAAACUUUUCUUCCAAGGCGGUGGUAAAAAUCUCUUCCUUUUUUUUCUUUUUUUUUUUCCUCUUUUUUUCUAUAGCUCAUUGGGGAGGAGAUCCCCUUACCCUGGGGUAUGUAGGACUCCAAUUCUACCGUCUAACGUGCUGACCAAUUUAUACCCAGGCUAUGGUUUGGAAGUGCAUCUGAAUGACUGUCCAAGGAUCAAGGCGGUGGGAGAGAGAGAGAUUUUUACCACCAACUUGGAAGAAAAGUCUAGAAAGAGAGAGGCGGCGACAAAUUAGCAUUUUAACAGGUUGUUGGUAAUUAAAGGGAUUUAGCCUCAUAUUGACAUUUUGCAGUAUUUUCCUUUGCAAGGCCUUUUGUCAAAGGAUUCAUCGAUCCUUUGUCUUAACAUGUUCUAGACUUAUGACUUGAUUUGUUAUCGACAUUUGUAUGGAGUCGUCUUCAUGCUGUAUCCAUAGAUUUCCCCAUCAUAAAUACCAUUAUAUGCUCCAAACAAGGUGGCAUGACUAUCACUAUUGCUUGUGAUCACUAUAAGCGGUGUUGGCCAGAUUGGAUGGUCAUAAAUUAAUUUCCUUAACCAUCUUCCUUCUGAAAUCAGAGUUGUUGAUAGACAUAAUGAAACAAGCUUGUCCCUGCUGAAUCAGAAUGGUUGAAACUUCCAAAGUUCUCUGCAGUUUGCAACUUAGUGACAAUCCAGCAAUGCAUUGAUCCACUGAAAUCAAAGUGGUUGAAACUCCCAAACUUCUCUAAAGUUUGCAACUUAGUUACAAUGUAGCCAUGCUUACAUGGCCCUCAUACCAAUGUUUCAGCUGAAUCAUGCUACACACCUGUUAUCCAAGAUGUAACUCAGUACACAUUACUACUACAUUACUGCUAAUUUCCCGUACACACCCAUGUAGUUUACAUUCUAGUGUUUGAGAUGGUUCUAAACUAUCCAAGCUGCAAUCAAUCCUCUGCAUUGUCAUUGACCACCACCAAUAGUCAUCCUAGUCAUCUCUAGUGACUCGCCCUACCACUAGUGAAUUGCACUGGCACUAGUAACAAGUAGCAGAACAGCUUUCAGAUUCUCAAGGGGAGGGCCGAAAGAGUAGCACUCAGAAAAUGUGCACAAAUAGCACUCAAUGAACAUGAGACUUGAACCACAUCCAAUGUCAUAAUACAUUUGGAGGACGCUUUGCAAUAUUUUAUCAAAAACAUUUUAUAAUCAUUGGGUUGUUGCACUUUCGUCUUAAUCUGUGUGCUCUUCCUAAAGAUACACUUUGUACUUCACAUUUGGAACAUUCCACCAUGCCCUAACCUCUCAUAUUGAAAGAACGAACUUUAUUAGUGUUCAAAGGUUCAAUAGGUCUCACAAUGAACCAUCAAACCAUUGUGUAAUCAAGGUUUUCAAGGUAAAGCAUGUCGAAUUCCCUCUUGUACAUAGGGUUUUAUUUGCCUUCAUCAUUACUGCUCAAACUAUGAAGAAUUCAAAGAGAGAACCUUUCUCCAACAUCUUAUUCCCUCUCAUUGUGUGCAAGAACUUGGUGGAGAGUGAUGUUAGCUCUAUGUAUCUUGAUGGAAAGAACUAUGGUUUGAGGUCUUUCCAGAUUUGGCAAGGGAAGAAAGUUAUAGGGCUAUAUUGAUGGUUUGUCCCCAACCAACUGAUUAGAAUGCACAAAGUAAUUGGCUUGUCACAAAAAGAUCAUUGUAACGUGAAUCAUGAAUUCGGUGAUGUACAAAAUUGUGUGCAACCUCAUAUAUCAGCCUAGUACCAAAACUAUGUGGAAUUACUUAAACAAACAUUACUAACAAAUAAACAUUACUCACUUGUAUAUACUUCAAAGGGUGUAUCAUAACAUAACAAAGGCAAUUAUGCUAUUUCAAUAGUCUCUCAAACAUAUGCAGUGAGAUGGACUUGAUGGACACUACAUUGAGACUCCUGACAAGACUAAUUUUUGCUUUAGCAAUAGCCUCGAUAGAGUGAUUUAUUAUGCACUUCAAUUGAGGCUGAUGUAACUGUAUUAGGGCUUAAAAUAAUUUUGUGAGCAAACUAGGCCAGCCCAGUACGAAAAGCAGGCUCAGCCCAUCAUGAGGUAAUUUUGAAUGGCCUUUAAAUGUCAGUUGAGCAAUAAAAAUACCUAAUUUUGGAUAGUAAAUAAAUGGCUUGAGUUGUUAACUUCGUUGCUUUGGGCCUACGUUGGAAUUUAGGUAUGUUGAUGAUGAUAACUUGAUUGACCUCGAUAUUGGGCAAGGCAUUGUCGUUGUAGUAUGAGGCUGGUGCUCGACAUUCUAUGGGUAAUAUACUAGCCAAUACCCCUUUGUUCUAUCAUCGAGUGACACUCUUUUUAGCAUUGAGUCGAUUGAGCAAGGUAAGCCACCAUGACUAAGUAACAAUUUAUACUUGGGUGUGGCAUUUUCUAGUAUCAAGCCGAUUUUUUUGCGAGCUUGAAUCUUCUGACAAAGCAAUGCAUGGCUCACCAAUUUUCUGCCUUAGGGCAAUGAGUUCGCCCAUGGAACGAAGCUUUCUCAGCCUCUAUUUGCGAGAAGCUAGAUAAAUAACAGAGGUAGACAAUCCACAUUUGGAUUUUUCAAACCGUGUUUGUGAUUUCAAAAGCCUUAAUUGCUUUUGGAAAAUUAUGACUCGGCACCAGUCUCUAUUUCCAAAACACUUCCCGCCUUUCAAAACUUCUUCAAAAUGGUUUAUAAAACGAAACAGUUGAGUCGCCUAAAAUGAUGACACUAUCGCAUCCCCAUUAACAAAAGGACCAAAACCCCAAAUCAAAAAGAAGUUUGAGCCAAAUAAAACUUCGAAAGUCUAGUAUGAGGGAGAACUCUUAAAAGUUUCGACCUUCCAAACUCAAACUCAAAAUUCAAACCACUCCAAUCCCAUAGCACUAGAAUAGCCUUAGGACGGAAGGGCAUCAUGGGAGUUAAACUAACCAGAAUCUUCAUAAAUUUCUAUACUAUUUUAAACUCUAUUUUUGCUUUACCUAAAUAUUAAAACGAUUAAGGUACAGUGACAGGACUAACAUGGACCUCUCAAUGAAAGAGAGGUCUAAAGUUUCGGCAAAGUUGAAGUCUUACAGGUCAUGAUAGUGGCACCAUUUAACCAAAUUUAGAACUCUGCUUACUUGAAAUGUAGCACCAUGUCAAGGUACACCAACAAUAGUAGCAUAGACCUCCCAAUGAACAGUGCCCCAAAGCGUGGGCCAAGUUGAAGUCUUUCAAGUCUGAAUAAUGGCAUCCACUAACGAGCUAGUGCUAGGAAUUCAAGGUCUUCUCUAUUUAUUAAUUAUUUCUUCAUUGUUUGAGGUCUCAAUUGUUUACUUCUUUGCCACUUAUCUUGCCCAAAGUGUGCGGCAUGAGCAACAAAGUGGGAAAACUAUAAACACCUUACUUUGGCUUAGUGGAUUCCCGUAUACCACAAACCCAAAUCAUAUGUACCAGACCUAGUCACCUACCCAAGCCUAUCCCAGACCUAUAAGCCAACUUUUGUGCCAUCCAGAUAUAUUAUUUCCUAUCAAAACCGCACUAGAGACCAUACUAGCCUGGUAGUCCACAGUUCAUCGUACCCCACAGUCCAUGCACCAUAGGAAACAAGCCAAAAAUACUAUAGAAGCCACCGUCAGGACCUCUGCUGGCCAUGUGAAUGUUGGUCAAGGGUGAGGCUCACAAACCUCCCUUGAUGCACCGCCCAUUCUGCCUAAGGCCUCAUCUGGGCCUCCUUCUUGCCUUAGGCAUGGCCCAGCAAGCCUCAUGCACCAGGUUGGUGCAUAGUCAAGCCUCAUCGGUAAAUGCCUCACAGAUAUUCAACUUGGACGCCUGGUAUGGGAACUCUUCGAUGCGGAGUUAUUUAGGCCUACACAUCUUAUUGAGGGAAUGGUGGAAGCCUUGGGUUAACUGGCGGAUAGUAGUGGAUAAGGCCCAUGCGCAAUAGCAUGGUGCACAAGUGCAUAAGCCUGUACACCACAGCUUAGCACACAGCAACUGUGGGCUGACCGUGGUUUUUAUAGGCACAUGUGGGUUGGGUAGGUGCCAAGGUUCAAAAUUCAAACAAGCCAAGAUGGCCGACGUGGGUGUAACGGCCAAGACGUUGGUAACAAUCGGGACAUGGGCCACAAAGAUAGGCGACGGUUAUGGUGCAUGGGCAUGGCCCCAUUAAGUGGCCUCACCUCAGGACGUGGCAUGAGGCCAGUAGCCUGGCUGCCUGCCAGAUACCCACGACCAGGCCUUAGGCUGCUGCUGGCCACCACGUGUACAAAUGGUUGUAUGCAGGGCUAUAUAAACCCCUAACCCAGACCCUUGAGAGGGAAUUUGUGGUAGCAUAUUUUGUAAGUGUACAGCUUAAUAAAAUGGGCCACUACCCUUGUACUCUUUAGCCUUGUGUUGGUGCGAGUGUGUGUGUGCAUAAGACUCUUACUCAAUGUGUGUGUUGAGGCUAAACUUAACCCUUAGCAACUUGGCUAAGCAUUAAGGCCACACAAUGCUAAGUGAAAGAAUAGGCCCCUUGGCAAUUAGGGAACCCUUAUUAAUGAACUAUAAACUAUGGUUAACUAAUUUUCCCCUGCAAUACUGGCACUCACAAUGACAAAACAACUGUACCCUACCCUCCAACAAUUUAGGUCCAUUCCAAUGGGAAGCCAUUCUGGCAAUAGGAGCCUCGGGGGCCAUUGGUCUUUCGAACGUAACACUCCCUCCAGAUUCACACCAACUAUGAUUUAUUUCUCAGACUUUAUCUCAAACUUCAACCUCAUAUACAUCUCUCUUAAAGGAACAAGAUACACCUGAUCCAACCAUUCUUCCUCCCCCUCGCUCUCAAAACUUGAUUGUUUUCUUUUCACUUUAGAAUGAGAUGCUUCCUUCCCUGGACCCCAUGCCCAGGCCCUAUCAAAACCCACUUCAGAAAUUUGCCCUAUCAUUCUCAAAACCUUACCUGUUUCUAGGGGCCCCAAACCAUUUCAGUUUGAAUUAGCCUAGCUUGAAAAUUCCAACUUUAUUCAUCGUGUAUCCCUUUUGGUGGAACAAUCAAUCACACCCUAAAAAAUUGGAUCAAACUCCUCCCUAGCAACUACGAAUCCUGCAAAUUUUCUAUCCAUUAGGAAAUUCAGGAUUGGGACCACCUGGAAGAACUUCGCACCCUUUCCGAUAAGGAGAAACUCCUUAGAACAUGGCUGAAAGUUGACUAUCAAAGAUCCUUAAACAAGAACAAAUAUUUUGGUACUAAUGAUCUCUAGUCAAGAGGCUUAAACUUGGGGACCUCAACAUAGUGGUAUUCCACAAGAUUGCUAAUUGUCGUAGGAAGACAAUUCCUUAACCUACAUCAAAGUAGAUGAUUUAAAUUUAAACGAACAUGUAGACGUAACUGAGGUCAUCCUUAAAUUCUUCAAGUAGUUAUUUACUGCCCCCUCUGUGUCGAGACCCACCUUAAGUAAUGUCUUUUCUUUCUUUGCCCCCCGAGAACUCGGCCUGGCUUGAACGCCCGUUCCAAGAGGAUGAGAUCCAAAAAGCCAUUCACGACCUAUGCCAAGACCGUGCAUGAGGCCUGGACGAUUUCCUGAUUACCUACUUCAAUCAAUUCUUGAACUCCACCCGAGAAGACCUCCUGGCCUUCUUUGUUGAAUUCUAUAGGAGGGAAUUCUCCUUAAGGCCCUCAAUGCCACUUUUAUGAUUCCCAAAGUAGAGGGGGUUGAAUAAUUGAAAGAUUUCCAGCCCAUUAGCUUAAUCAAUAGCACCUUCAAGAUACUUUCUAAGGUGUUGGCCUCUCGCCUUCAUGAGGUUCUUGGGUUGAUCAUCUCCCCAAAGAAAGGAGCUUUUGUAAAAGGCCAUCAAAUUUUUUAUGGAGCCUUCAUAGCCCAUGAGACUCUUCACCCUCAGAAUUUGUCAUAAGUGCUUGGAUUGGUGAUUAAGCUUGACUGGAAAAAAGCACAUGAUCAUAUGGAUUAGACCCUCCUUGAAAACACGCUACCCCGUAUGGAUUUGGAUGAUCGAUGGAGGUCUUGGAUCCGUGAAUGCAUUUCCUCACUACACCUCUCGGUCCUAAUUAACGGGACACUCAAAGGCUUCUUCCCAGCCUCAAGAGAUAUGCUGCAUGUGGGUCCCCUAUCCCCUUCUUUCUUGCUAUAGUGGAGGAAGUUCUUAAGUCGCUCAAUUACUCACUGCUACCACUUUAGCCUACUGCACUGCUUCUCGAUUGAAAGACUUUCCCGAGAAAAAUAAGUUCAAGAGGCAUCUUCCAUUCAUUACCAUCACCCACCUACAAUACGUAGAUGACGCCUUGGUCUUCUGCGAAGCUUCCACCCAGGAAGUUGAUUCCCUGCUCCUAUUUCUUAAAUGUUUUGAAUGGGCCACCGGGUUUAAGGUUAAUAUGCAUAAAACUAAGAUGAUUAGGGUAGCCAUGGAUCCCCUAAUCAUCCGACAGUUGGUUGAUUGAUGGGGUUGUCUAUCAAAUGCCUCCCAACAACCUACUUAGGUCUUUCUUUAUGCCUCAGAAAGCCAAAACAGAGCCAUUGGGCCCACUUACUGGAUAUGUUUGAUAGAAAAUUCACCACUUGGAAGGGUCACUUUCUCUUCUCGGUAGGUAGAGCCACCCUCAUCAAGGCCACUCUCUAAUGUACCUAUCUACCAUAUGUCGCUCUUGCAUAUGCUGGUAUCUGUGUGUUCUCGCCUAGAACAACUAAUGUGCAACUUUCCAUGGGCGAGCAACGACAACAGGCACAGAUUUCACUUGGUCUCUUGGGAGAAAAUUUGUCAACCACUCCACCUUGGUGGCCUUGGGUUUCGUAAUCUCAUAAAAGGUAACCAAUCAUUGCUAGGAAAGUGACAGUGGUGCUCUACCACACAAGGACACCUUUGGAAGUAGGUCAUCAUCUCGAAAUACCAUCUAAACCAAAUGUCAUGGCUCUCGGAGUGGUGGGCUAGUGGUGGAGCUUCCAGCAUAUGAUAUGGAAAUCCAUUACUAGAGUCCUCAAGCUUUUCAAAAGCAACGUCAGAUUCCACCCCAGGAGGGGAAAUAGAAUCAGGUUUUGACUCGAUCCUUGGUUGACCCAAAUCCCAUUGAAAGACUUUUUCCCAACCCUAUACCUCUUAACCCCUAACCAACAUACAACAGUAAAAGAACUCUUCCUUUCCCAUGACCCUGUUAGAACUUGGAGUCCUAACUUCAAAAAAUAUCUCACCGACCCCCAAAUUUUAGGAAUUCAUUGACGUUUCCACCCUUCUAGGCUCUUUUUUUUCUCACUAUUUUUGGUGAAGACAAGAUUCUCUGGUGCCCGGCUCUAUGCGGCAUUCUUAUUGUAUCCUCCUUCCAUCAAAAACUCAUUGAACCACCCACUUUCCCUUGCGCUCCUCCAUCCAUAGUGGCCAAAGCGUGGAGUUCCAUUGGACCACUAAAAUCCUAUUCUUCUCCUGGCUUGCCCUUUCCCAAAAUGCUUUAAUAGUUGACCAACUGCAGAGAAGAGGCAUGCCCUUAGCCAAUUGGUGUGUGAUGUUUCGGGAAGCCAAAGAAACCAAUCCUUACAUGUUCAUACACUGCCUUAUAGCCUUAUCCCUUUUAGGUGCCCUGCUACAACUGUUUCAAUGACAAUGGGUAACCGCCAUAACCAUGCCCUUUCUAUUCUUCUCGAUCCACUCAUGUCCCUGGGGCUCCUCAGGUUUACUACUGUGGAAAGCUUCCAUUGCUACAUUGCUCUUGGAGAGCGUAAUAAUCGAAUAUUCUGGGGCAAAGCUCAAUCAUUGCCACAAUAUUUGAAAGGAUCAAAUUAUCAGUCAUAAAGGGAAACCAACAAUAAACAAUUCAAAGGGCCAUUCAUCCUUUUAAGACUCUCCUUAGUAUGCCGAUGUGGAUUGAAAGGAAGUUGGGGAUGGACGUAGAUCCUUACUUGACAAGCUCUUAGGAACAGACAAAUCAAAAAUUUCAGGAGCGCUCCAACAACCCGCCUUCCAUGUCAAGUCGGCCUCCGGCCCCUCCCAUGCGACCACACCUCCAAGGGUACUCGCCAUGUCACUAGCCCUUUCAAGCUGAUAGGCAAUCUGACUGUAGUGGACCCGGCUCCAAAUAGUAGGGAGAACCCUGUCAUCUCUUUUGACGAGGUCGGCUGCACGAUCGGUAGGUCGCGGGGGGGAGCAGCUUACCGUUGCAAUGAUGAUUUCCCAUUCUUCUUCUCUUUUGAAUCAGAUAGAUUCAGAUCUCAAAGAGGCUGACAAAAAGUUCUUUCAAAAUUGACUCUUUGUUCCCCUGCCAGAAGUGUUCUAGAAGCAGACAGAUGUAUCGUGAUUGGGAGAUGCGAAAUCCAUUGGCUAUGCAUUUGCUAGCACAAGCGGGAAAGUGUAGUCAUCGAUAGGUCUGCAUGUUGAAGAGGCAUAGCCAAAACAGGGUUCAGUCAGAGAUGGAGGCAGCUACAGAACUAGAUCUCAUUGAUCCAGUGGCUUCUCCUCCUCAGCCUUCCAUCUCAAUUGACAACCAACUGGCCAUCCCCCACACUUCUUUGUGGAGAUCACGUGAGCCUGGUUCUGUUAAACUUAAUUUCGACAUUUGUUCCGUUUGGCAACCCUGGUCCCGCAGGCAUUGGAAGCUAGCCGAAGCUACAACCCUACUCGAGGGGCUCAAACUGUUCAACAGAGCCUGGAUCCAUUCACUUAAGGGAAAAGUUUAUACAAGGUUGCAACCUUAAAAUGUAGAA
rnacentral:lncRNA from 1 species